UGAGCCCAAGGCAGACGCUUAAUGACGGAGCCACCCAGGCGCCCCUUCAGUUGGUCUUCUUGUUGGAGGGUUGUGGUGAGCCCACGCUUAUGAAGGGCAGAGCCACGUCUGGAUUACCGCAGGUGGCUGGUAAACGCUAAGCUGGGCCUCAGGGUGUGACGCCGGCUGACCUUCUCAACUUUUCCUUCUCUUCCUGUCAACUUGUUGCAACCGCCCACAGUGAGGGCCGUGAACCGAGGACAAACCUGAGGCUCAGAGAGCUAGUCACUGACCCCAGGUCACACAGCUCCAGGAGGUGGAGGAGCCAAGAUUCAAGUCAAGAUCUGUUUGAUUCCAGAACCAAGCUUGGCCUUACUGGGCGGGCGGGGAUGCCGGGGAGUCUGGGGUCCUCAGGGCUCCACAGGUGAUUCUGAUAUGCAGCCAGGUGGCGAACCCUUGAGCAGGGCAGUGAGCUCUGGGAAGAGUGCUGGCUCUGGGGCCGGCUGACUCCUGCACCGUCCUGCAGCCUGCCUCCUCUUCUCUGACACGGAGUGGGGUUUCAGGAGGCCGGAAGGAGCGGAGCAGCGUGCCCGCUGGAUGGUAAGCACAGGGGACGCACCCUGCAGGUCCUGUUGGUGCAGCAACAGCCGCAUUUUUAGUCCCUGGGCUGGGGGCCAGUCGCCCCCCUGCUCCUUCUCCCGGCUCCCUGGUACACAUUCCCAGCUUCCCGGUGGGGAGCUUGAGACACGUGGCAGAAGACCCCACGGGGGCACUCAGGAGGCUUCAGCACGUGGGUGCAGAGCAGGGAUGCUGUCGAGACUCCUGCCCAGAAACACAUCCCGCACCGAUCCUCCCACACGCAGGUGUGCGACCCAGCCGGCCACUACCGUGUGUGCAGGUCUGACGGCAAAAGCCAGGAAACCGGCCUGACAGUGGUCGCAGCUGAUGUGUGUGUGCAGGGCAGGCUUUCUCCACUCAGGUGGCCGUGUAGAAAGUUAGCAGCGUCCCUGGUAUCAGUAGCAUUCCCUCCAUCCCGGUUGUGACAACCAGGAAUGUCUUCAGACAUGGCCAAUGUCUCCUGGCAGAGAACCCGUGGUCUAGAGUUUGCUCCAUGCAGCGCACAGGUGCGCACACUCUGCAGAAGGCACCUCCUCCUCGAGCCCCUUACGCCUGGAGACGGAUGCUUUUCGUCCUUCUACUGUACAGAGGCAGAGACGGCCAGGUUAGUGGUUUGCCCAAGGUCACGGAGCUGACACUUCAGCAAUGCUGUGAUUUGAACCUGUGUUAAGUCCCAGGUCCCUCUUUUUCAAGUCGAUUUUUGUGGGUCCCUUGGACUUCUCCCCAUUCACAACCAUGUUGUCCGUGACUAGAUGUAAUCUCAUUUCUGCUUUUCCCAUGUGGCUACCUUGGCGCGUUCCAGAACAGACUUGCAGGGCAUGAAUUAUAGCCCAAGCAGAUUCUGUAAUCUGCACAGGAUUCUUUCUUUCCGGAAGUUAGAUUUGCUCAAUUAUCGACAAUUUGGAAAAUACAGAAUAAAAAGAAAAAAUAAAAUUUCGUAUUGGACUUCCCACAAAAGGCUCACUUUCUAGCAGCCUUGUCCUCUGAGAAGCUCUCUCUGCUUUGAAAUUUUAUCAUCCAGUUGCAAUCACACUAUAUAAUACAAAUUCCCCAAACUACAAA